rnacentral:tRNA from 2 species
GGGCGCAUAGCUCAGUGGAAGAGCACCUGCCUUACAAGCAGGGGGUCGCUGGUUCGAGCCCAGCUGCGCCCACCA